rnacentral:rRNA from 1 species
GCAAGCGUUAAUCGGAAUUACUGGGCGUAAAGCGUGCGCAGGCGGUUUUGUAAGACUGUCGUGAAAUCCCCGGGCUUAACCUGGGAAUGGCGAUGGUGACUGCAAGGCUAGAGUUUGGCAGAGGGGGGUAGAAUUCCACGUGUAGCAGUGAAAUGCGUAGAUAUGUGGAGGAACACCGAUGGCGAAGGCAGCCCCCUGGGUCAAAACUGACGCUCAUGCACGAAAGCGUGGGGAGCAAACAGG